rnacentral:rRNA from 1 species
ACUAUCAGGUUGAUAGGCCGGGUGUGUAAGCGCAGAAAUGCGUUCAGCUAACCGGUACUAACGCUCGAUUACUUGACCAUAU